rnacentral:rRNA from 1 species
ACGGAAGGCAGCAGUGGGGAAUAUUGGACAAUGGGGGAAACCCUGAUCCAGCGACGCCGCGUGAGUGAAGAAGUAUUUCGGUAUGUAAAGCUCUAUCAGCAAGGAAGAAAAUGACGGUACUUGACUAAGAAGCUCCGGCUAAAUACGUGCCAGCAGCCGCGGUAAUACGUAUGGAGCAAGCGUUAUCCGGAUUUACUGGGUGUAAAGGGAGUGUAGACGGCAAAGCAAGUCCGAAGUGAAAUCCCGGGGCUCAACCCCGGAACUGCUUUGGAAACUGUUUAGCUAGAGUGCAGGAGAGGUAAGCGGAAUUCCUAGUGUAGCGGUGAAAUGCGUAGAUAUUAGGAGGAACACCAGUGGCGAAGGCGGCUUACUGGACUGUAACUGACGUUGAGGCUCGAAAGCGUGGGGAGCAAACAGGAUUAGAUACCCUGGUA